AGUGAACGCUGGCGGUAGGCCUAACACAUGCAAGUCGAACGGCAGCACAGUAAGAGCUUGCUCUUACGGGUGGCGAGUGGCGGACGGGUGAGGAAUACAUCGGAAUCUACUUUUUCGUGGGGGAUAACGUAGGGAAACUUACGCUAAUACCGCAUACGACCUACGGGUGAAAGCAGGGGAUCUUCGGACCUUGCGCGAUUGAAUGAGCCGCUGUGGGAUUAGCUAGUUGGCGGGUUAAAGGCCCACCAAGGCGGCGAUCCGUAGCUGGUCUGAGAGGCUGGUCGGCCACCUGGGAAGUGAGACAGGCACCAGAGUCCUACGGGAGGGCGCAGUGGGGAACAGUGGGCAAUGGGCGCAAGCCUGACCCAGCCAUAGCAAGUGGGUGAAGAAGGCCCUCGGGUUGUAAAGCCGUCUUGUUGGUAAAGAACAGCAGCAGGUUAAUACCCCGCUGUCCUGACGGUACCCAAAGAAUAAGCACCGGCUAACUUCGUG
rnacentral:rRNA from 1 species